rnacentral:lncRNA from 1 species
GGGUCACUGUGUUCUGUGGCAGGUGGCUGGUACCACCUUUGUGACAAAUAGGCAGCAGUAAUUGCUAGUGAAGCAUGGGAGUGCGUUUCAUUAAAGUAAAUUGCAGGCUACAAUUUUUUUGUUUUAUUACAUUUACUUUCCUCCAAAUGCGUCCAUAUUUUUGGUAUCAUACAUCAAUUUUCACAUUUACCACCCUCAACAACCC